GAUGAACGCUGGCGGCGUGCCUAAUACAUGCAAGUCGAGCGAACAGACGAGAGUGCUUGCACUCUCUGACGUUAGCGGCGGACGGGUGAGUAACACGUGGGUAACCUACCUAUAAGACUGGGAUAACUUCGGGAAACCGGAGCUAAUACCGGAUAAUAUUUAGCUUCGCAUGAAGCAAUAGUGAAAGACGGUUCUGCUGUCACUUAUAGAUGGACCCGCGGUGUAUUAGCUAGUUGGGGAGGUAACGGCUCACCAAGGCAACGAUACAUAGCCGACCUGAGAGGGUGAUCGGCCACACUGGGACUGGGACACGGCCCAGACUCCUACGGGAGGCAGCAGUAGGGAAUCUUCCGCAAUGGACGAAAGUCUGACGGAGCAAUGCCGCGUGAGUGAAGAAGGUUUUCGGAUCGUAAAACUCUGUUGUGGGGGAAGAACAAGUACGUUAGUAACUGAACGUACCUUGACGGUACCUUACCAGAAAGCCACGGCUAACUACGUG
rnacentral:rRNA from 1 species